GCUUGAAGGAUAAUGAAGCUAGCACAUUUAAGGGCAUUUGACUAUUAGUGUUACUACAUGUAAAUUUUGUUUGGUUUCAGUUCACACAUUCACAUUAUCAAUGGAAAUUACAGAUCAUUAUUUUGUAGGGCAAUAUCUCACUACAUAUGAAGCAUCAAGCAUGUGUACUAAUUUUUAAACCUUAAUUUCAAAUAUGCAAAUGAAAAAUCUUGAGCGAAAAUGAUCAAGGAAAUAAUAAAGUUAGCACGUAUAUAACUGUUAGUGUUAGUACAAUACAUUUUCAUCAAUCUCGAGAAUGCAUAGCACAGUAAUUGAAUGGGAUUUACAGUGAGGAUUAAUAUUUCUAUAUGAUGUUUUAUAAUUAUUUUCUUUUAAUAAACAUACAU
rnacentral:misc_RNA from 1 species